rnacentral:rRNA from 1 species
AGAUAAGUGCUGAAAGCAUCUAAGCACGAAACUUGCCCCGAGAUGAGUUCUCCCUGAGACUUAAAGUCUCCUGAAGGAACGUUGAAGACGACGACGUUGAUAGGCCGGGUGUGUAAGCGCAGCGAUGCGUUGAGCUAACCGGUACUAAUGAACCGUGAGGCUUAACCUU